AUUGAACGCUGGCGGCAUGCCUUACACAUGCAAGUCGAACGGUAACAGGUCUUCGGAUGCUGACGAGUGGCGAACGGGUGAGUAAUGCAUCGGAACGUGCCCAGUAGUGGGGGAUAGCCCGGCGAAAGCCGGAUUAAUACCGCAUACGACCUGAGGGCGAAAGGGGGGGAUCGCAAGACCUCUCGCUAUUGGAGCGGCCGAUGUCAGAUUAGCUAGUUGGUGGGGUAAAGGCCUACCAAGGCAACGAUCUGUAGUUGGUCUGAGAGGACGACCAGCCACACUGGGACUGAGACACGGCCCAGACUCCUACGGGAGGCAGCAGUGGGGAAUUUUGGACAAUGGGCGCAAGCCUGAUCCAGCAAUGCCGCGUGCAGGAAGAAGGCCUUCGGGUUGUAAACUGCUUUUGUCAGGGAAGAAAUCUUCUGGGUUAAUACCUCGGGAGGAUGACGGUACCUGAAGAAUAAGCACCGGCUAACUACGUGCCAGCCGCCGCGGUAAAAC
rnacentral:rRNA from 1 species